CGGCGAGUGAAGUGGGAAAAGCUCAACUUUGAAAUCUGGCACCUUCGGUGUCCGAAUUGUAGUCUCUAGAAGUGUCUUCCGUGCUGGCCCAUGUGUGAGUCUGUUGGAACACAGCGUCAUAGAGGGUGACAACCCCGUUCAUAACAUGGACCCCAGUGCUUUGUGAUACACUCUCGACGAGUCGAGUUGUUUGGGAAUGCAGCUCAAAUUGGGUGGUAAAUUCCAUCUAAAGCUAAAUAUUGGCGAGAGACCGAUAGCAAACAAGUACCGUGAGGGAAAGAUGAAAAGCACUUUGGAAAGAGAGUUAACAGUACGUGAAAUUGUUGAAAGGGAAACGAUUGAAGUCAGACGUGCGUGGUGCGGUUCAGCUCUGGUUCGCCAGAGUGUAUUCCGUGCCUUUGCAGGCCAACAUCGGUUUCAC
rnacentral:rRNA from 1 species